UGGAGGCUGGCACAUUUGUUUUGUGGUGUAAAGAUUAAAAAGGCCAUGACCUUGAUAGACAGCCUGUCUUCCAAUAUUGGGGAUGAAGAUGGACACUUUAGUAGGAGCCAGGUCUGUUCUGUUCUGGGAAAUGUCAGGUGUAUCCAUGAUUUCAAAUGAUCGUGACUCUUGUGAAGUCUUUGACCACACGGUGUCCUUAUUGAUGAACCUAGCUAUCAUUUUGACACUUCUAACCAUUCAGUGCUCUAUUGCCUGUGGUAGAGCAGAGUACAGAACAGGUGAUGAAUGCUGUCCUAUGUGUUCACCAGGAAACCGGGUACAUAAACACUGUACAGAAUUUACAAGUACUUCCUGUGUCCCCUGUACCGACUCCACAAUUUCUGUCCACUGCAUGUUGUGCAGCAAUGGGACGCAUGAAGACUGAUGAUGGAAAUUCUAGACAAGAUGUUAUUUGUAACAAAGUGCCACCAAGGAUCCAUACCACUCUAAUAGUUCCAAUAUUAUUAUUAGGCCUAACAGUUGUUGCACUGUUUGGUUUCUACCUGGCAAGAGCUAAACGUAAGAAAGAGCUGCAUGAAUUCUAUGAGGUUCCUGUGCAAGAAACGGGACAUCAACAAGUCACCAGUAACUCCCUAGUGAAAACAGCAGAGAAUGUGCCUGGUAAUGUUGUAACUGAUUGACAGUCAGUAUCCACUAAACUCAGAUGAAGUGCCAUGAAUGCAUGCGGAUACCCAGAAGGCUGUAAAACAUGAAUGGAGUACUUAUGAACUGCAAUGCAUUUGCUCCUGCAUUUUGACUAUUAAGUAUACUUAUCUGGAGUGGACUGUUGAAUACAGUGAAUGCCAAGAGUGUGCAAAGCUGUCAUCAAGCAAAGGGUGGCAACUUUGAAGAACCUCAAAUAUAAAAUGUAUUUUGUACUUUUUGGUUACUACAUGAUUCCAUGUGUUAUUUCAAAGUUUUCUUCACUAUUAUUCUACAAUGUAGAGAAUAGGUAGGUGUGUCCAAACUUGACUGGAGCUAUAUGUGUAUAAAAAGUAUACAGUAAAGUAUUUGAUCCCAUAUUCAUAGCACACAAUGACUACAACAUAUCUUGUUUGUUUUGGUUGUGUUUCAGAUUAUUUUGUGCCCAGUAGAAAUUAAGGGUAAAUAAUAUAUUGUGUCAUUUUGAUGUCACUUUCAUUGUAUUUAACAAUUAAAUAUUCCUAAACACUUUAAUAUAAAAGGGGAACGGAAACACUAGGAUUUAGAACGCCAUACAGUUCAUGUUUGAAAUGUUGUUGCCAUCUUCAUUGUCUGCACCUAACCUCACUCUCUUCCAUUCACUCUCCGCGCGAAAAAUCAAUUACCACAGACAAUUUGCUUGAUUCCUGCCAGUGACGCACUGGCAUCAGUUGUUACUAUGGCAGUAGCUAAAAUUAACCUUGUCGCCGAUCAAAAUACUAAAUAUAGAGAUGUUUUUAAGUUCAAUGAACAUGUUUAAUAUAAGUGGUUUGAGUACAUCUCUUUGUUUAGAUUUACUUCCUAAAGGGUUUCUUUUCCCUUAUAAUGUGGAUUCUUCCAUGAUAACGGAUAAUCCUGAAUGAAUUGUGAAUAAAUUAAUAUAUUACUCCUCAGA